GGGUCCGUACAGGGCGGCCGGCUGCUGGGUCUGCAGUGCCCAGUACCGGUCGCCGAACGACCAGUGCCACCAUUCGGUUCGGUACGGGACCA
rnacentral:tRNA from 1 species